CAACAUAUGGGUACCUGCCAUCGCUUCAAGUGCUCUCAGCCUCGCACAACCGCAUUUCUGGGGAGCUUCCUGCCGAGCUCGCCAAUUGUUCCAACCUCACUGUGCUUGAAAUCAGUGGCAACCAGCUGACUGGCUCCAUCCCGAGUGACCUCUCACGCCUUGGUGAAUUGGAGGAGCUUGACCUCAGCUACAAUCAGCUUUCAGGCAAGAUACCACCAGAGAUUUCCAACUGCUCGUCGCUUGCCCUUCUCAAGCUUGAUGACAAUCGUAUUGGCGGUGACAUACCAGCCUCCCUUGCCAACCUCUCGAAGCUGCAGACACUUGACCUGUCA
rnacentral:lncRNA from 1 species